GUUAAUCGGAAUUACUGGGCGUAAAGCGAGCGUAGGUGGCUUGAUAAGUCAGAUGUGAAAUCCCCGGGCUUAACCUGGGAACUGCAUCUGAUACUGUCAGGCUAGGAUAGGUGAGAGGAAGGUAGAAUUCCAGGUGUAGCGGUGAAAUGCGUAGAGAUCUGGAGGAAUACCGAUGGCGAAGGCAGCCUUCUGGCAUCAUAUUGACACUGAGGUUCGAAAGCGUGGGUAGCAAACAGGAUUAGAUACCCUGGUAGUCCACGCCGUAAACGAUGUCUACUAGUCGUUGGGUCCCUUGAGGACUUAGUGACGCAGCUAACGCAAUAAGUAGACCGCCUGGGGAGUACGGCCGCAAGGUUAAAACUCAAAUGAAUUGGCGGGGGCCCGCACAAGCGGUGGAGCAUGUGGUUUAAUUCGAUGCAACGCGAAGAACCUUACCUGGUCUUGACAUACACAGAAUCUUGUAGAGAUACGAGAGUGCCUUCGGGAAUUGUGAUACAGGUGCUGCAUGGCUGUCGUCAGCUCGUGUCGUGAGAUGUUGGGUUAAGUCCCGCAACGAGCGCAACCCUUGUCCUUAGUUACCAGCGGGUUAAGCCGGGAACUCUAAGGAUACUGCUAGUGACAAACUGGAGGAAGGCGGGGACGACGUCAAGUCAUCAUGGCCCUUACGACCAGGGCUACACACGUGCUACAAUGGUAGGUACAGAGGGCAGCUACACAGCGAUGUGAUGCGAAUCUCAAAAAGCCUAUCGUAGUCCAGAUUGGAGUCUGCAACUCGACUCCAUGAAGUAGGAAUCCCUAGUAAUCGCGGAUCAGAAUGCCGCGGUGAAUACGUUCCCGGGCCUUGUACACACCGCCCGUCACACCAUGGGAGUUGAUUGCACCAGAAGUGGUUAGCCUAACUUAGUGAGGGCGAUCACCACGGUGUGGUUGAUGACUGGGGUGAA
rnacentral:rRNA from 1 species